CCGCACCACUCGCCGCCCGGGGCUGGGGGAAACGCUCGAGCGGGAGAGAAGAGCCGAUGCGCUCUUUGCAGAAGUGGUCGGCUAGGGGGGAAAUAGAAGUGUAUCUUUCAGAUUACGUGGGAAAAAAUGGGAGCAGAGUAGCUCGUAGGCGUUCUAUCCAGUUCCCUUGUUUCCCUCCCCACUUUAUCAGGUCCCUGACGUGAAUGGUUUAGCCCGAGGGGGGCGGAGGAGGGACGCCUGGGCUGCGCACCACGGUUGCCAUGGAAGCCAGGAGUCCGCGGAGAGGCGGCUGGGCGGCGUCUGUCCGGGCACCCUGGACGUGGGUUGCCCGGCGGAGCGCUCAGGGGAGAGGCCCCUGGAGCUGGUGCGGGCUCGGGAGCUCGCGUGCCGGAAGAGUAACGUCUGGGAAGAGGGCGCGGCCGGCCGGAGAAGCGGGCGGCUAAGGGCCGAGGCUGCAGGGAGGCUGCAGUGGCGGCCGUGAGGCCUCUCAGACUCUCGGUUUCUCGUUCAUUCAUCGAGCAUUACCAAGCGCUAACCCCGUAGCCCUCGGAUUCUAGGACAGCAGUUCUCAAAGUGUGGUCCGGGGAUAAAGUCAAAACAAUUUUGAUAAGAAUACAGACACUUUCUUUGCCCUUUUCACAUUCAUUCUCUAACAAGCUUGCAGUUUUCCGGAGAAUACGCGUAGUGUAUGACGUCAUCACAGCUAAGGGGGCGUGUGCUUGUUAUUCUGUGUUUAAACAUUUCUCAAUUUUAAUUUCAAUGCAGUAAAGAUAGGUAUAACCCACAUAAACAUAAGCUCUUUGGAUUCCACGGUAAUUCUUAAGCGUAUGGAGGGACCCUGAGUCCGAAAAAUUUGAUAACUGCAGCCCUGAAUGAUCUCAGUUCAAGAGGAGAGAAGUAGAAGAAGAUUUGGCCCAGACAGAAAAGAAGGCAAUAUAAACAUAGAGACAGAGACUGCAGUGAUACAGCCACAAGCACCCAUUGUGAACCACACACCUCAUGAAGAACUAGGACGUACAUUAUCUAACUUCCUUCAUACUAAUCCAACAAAAAACAUAAAUCCCUGAAAGAAGCAGUGGAAAUGGAGGAAAAAAUAAAGCAGGAAAUAAGACAAGAGACCAGAGUCAAGUGGGGAUUCUGGGCAAGAUGGCUGACCAGAGAGACACCAGCUGCUAGACCAUCACAAUAAGAAGGAGAAGUUUUAAAUGAAAGAGAAAAAACGAACAGACAGAAAAACAUAGAUCGGAUGUGGGUCUGAAGGAAGGGUGCCAGAGCCUCCAGGAGACUCCACAGGAAGAAAUUGCAGUGCAGAAUAAGAAGGAGCAAGACCAUACAGCAAAAGAAAAUAAGAAGACGGUAUAUAGGAGAGACACUCAACACCAAGGACAAAUUUCAUCAGGAGCCCCAGACAAGAACCUAGAGAAGUAGGAAAGAAAGGAUACUUUUUUUUGUCUUUACACUGGAAGCAAACUCUGAGCCAAAGAAUCAUUUGCAGAAGUUUUAUUGGCAAGUACCAUAGAAUUGUGAGAUACUUGGUGGGAUAUUUCUUUAAGAAAGUCUGGAUUGGACAGAGCAAGAAGAUGACCCUGAAUACAGUUGCAAUGGAGUCCUCAGCCCAUCCUACCAGGUCCUCUGGAGCUGGAGUGGCUCUUCAAAGUUGUUCCAAGUUGAAACAAGCAAGCCAGGUAUUUGUACUCCCGCAUCAGUCAGUCAUUUGUUAUGGGAUAACCCUUGGCCAAAGCAAUGCCCUGCAACUCAGGCAGGGAUGCAGCUGUGAACUUCUGAGGAUGAGAGCCUUUAUGAUGAAGAAAGAAUAUGGGCAGAACACCAGAGUGACCAUUAUAAGUAACAUCAAACAGAAAGAAUGGGAAUGUUUCAGGGAGAAGCCUCCUUAAAGUGAAGAAAAGGGUCAAAUCCAAUUAAAUUUGCAAAGGAAACUUCGGAGAGGACGAAUGCCAUUAGCCCAAACUGGAAUGUGGCCAAAACACAGGGGUUGUAAGAGAAACAUUUUGUGAACUGUGACAUAAAGGCAAUGGAAAAUGCAGGCCUGUUAGUGACAUAACACAUCCACUCUUGAAUCCUGCAAAGGAUAUUAUGUGAGCAAAUGCACAUAGUGAAACCUAAAAAGGUUCCAGUUUUUAAAUGCUGAAUGCUUGAGAGCUCUGCUUGUACCUGCUGUGAUUUAAAAGGCUAGAGGCCUCAUUUUAAGCCACUAAAAUUCAAAGUGACAGAAACCUACAAAUUUUUA